rfam:Capsicum annuum cultivar Zunla-1 unplaced genomic scaffold scaffold3499, whole genome shotgun sequence
UGAUUACGGUGAGGGAAAUUUCAAAGCAUACCUUUAAAUCUUUCCCAAUCUUGGUAAAGAUUUUCUCCUUCUUUCUACUCAAAACUCAGGAUCUCACUUCUCAAUCG